rnacentral:snoRNA from 1 species
CUUCCAUGAUGGGGACAUUCUAGGAUGUAGUCUUGGAAACGCUCCCAUGCUUCUGGAACACAUUCAUCAUGUUGUUGCCCACGAAGAGCAUUGGUCUUGCCCAUGGGAAA